AGAGUUUGAUCCUGGCUCAGAUUGAACGCUGGCGGCAAGCCUAACACAUGCAAGUCGAGCGGUAACACAGGGAGCUUGCUCCUGAGUGACGAGCGGCGGACGGGUGAGUAAUGUCUGGGAAACUGCCUGAUGGAGGGGGAUAACUACUGGAAACGGUAGCUAAUACCGCAUAACGUCGCAAGACCAAAGAGGGGGACCUUCGGGCCUCUUGCCAUCAGAUGUGCCCAGAUGGGAUUAGCUAGUAGGUGGGGUAACGGCUCACCUAGGCGACGAUCCCUAGCUGGUCUGAGAGGAUGACCAGCCACACUGGAACUGAGACACGGUCCAGACUCCUACGGGAGGCAGCAGUGGGGAAUAUUGCACAAUGGGCGCAAGCCUGAUGCAGCCAUGCCGCGUGUAUGAAGAAGGCCUUCGGGUUGUAAAGUGCUUUCAGCGGGGAGGAAGGUGUUGAGGUUAAUAACCUCAGCAAUUGACGUUACCCGCAGAAGAAGCACCGGCUAACUCCGUGCCAGCAGCCGCGGUAAUACGGAGGGUGCAAGCGUUAAUCGGAAUUACUGGGCGUAAAGCGCACGCAGGCGGUCUGUCAAGUCGGAUGUGAAAUCCCCGGGCUCAACCUGGGAACUGCAUUCGAAACUGGCAGGCUAGAGUCUUGUAGAGGGGGGUAGAAUUCCAGGUGUAGCGGUGAAAUGCGUAGAGAUCUGGAGGAAUACCGGUGGCGAAGGCGGCCCCCUGGACAAAGACUGACGCUCAGGUGCGAAAGCGUGGGGAGCAAAC
rnacentral:rRNA from 1 species